UGCCGCCCUCAGUCCUGGGGGCGAUGUUUCCAUAGCCUGUAGAUGUGGGGGGAGAAGACAAGAACUUAUUUAAUCGUUAUAAAACAAACCACUCUAGAUGACCCCCUCUAUUUAAACCACAUUCAUAUAUCCAGAGGGAGACAAUUGGUGGCUUCCACCGAGAGAACAUGGCAGUAAUUACAGACUGCUGAACAAAAGGGAAGUUAAGACAAGGACAGACUAAACAAUUUCGGUCAGAGAGGAGAUCUGAGCUCAAAGUUCUGCAGAAAUAUUCUUGAAGUGAUGACGGUUCCAGCGAAGAAGAACGCGCUGCUGAGGUCCCAGUGGCUGGAGUUAUUGGACGUGUCUCCAAUGGGACUCACUCCAGCACUGACCGCGUCUACUGCAUGCUGGAAAAGAUGCACACAAGAGAGAAACACUCAAAAAGCCAUUUUGGAAGUGCUUCAUUGACAGAAUCGCUGAGCAUCCUGCAGGUGGGAAGAUUUUUGAGUCAGUCCUGCUCACGGCCAAGAACACCGACAACAGCCAUCUGGUCUCGCAUGACAGGACAGAGACAUGUCCACAUGACAGACUGAGUUUAAAGGCUUUUUUGAGCUGAAUCUUCAGUAUGAUGUUGCUUCACGUGCCCUACAAAGUGCUUGUUU